rnacentral:rRNA from 1 species
UAGGGAAUCUUCGGCAAUGGACGAAAGUCUGACCGAGCAACGCCUCGUGAGUGAAGAAGGUUUUCGGAUCGUAAAACUCUGUUGUUAGAGAAGAACAAGGACGUUAGUAACUGAACGUCCCCUGACGGUAUCUAACCAGAAAGCCACGGCUAACUACGUGCCAGCAGCCGCGGUAAUACGUAGGUGGCAAGCGUUGUACGGAUUUAUUGGGCGUAAAGCGAGCGCAGGCGGUUUCUUAAGUCUGAUGGGAAAGCCCCCGGCUCAACCGGGGAGGGUCAUUGGAAACGGGGAGACUUGAGUGCAGAAGAGGAGAGUGGAAUUCCAGGUGUAGCGGUGAAAUGCGUAGAUAUAUGGAUGAACACCAGUGGCGAAGGCGGCUCUCUGGUCUGUAACAGACGCAGAGGAUCGAAAGCGUGGGGAGCAAACAGG